rnacentral:rRNA from 1 species
UAAGACGAACCGUGCGAACGUUGUUCGGAAUCACUGGGCUUAAAGGGCGCGUAGGCGGGCUGCCAAGUCCGUGGUGAAAUCCUCCGGCUCAACCGGAGAAUGGCCUCGGAUACUGGCGGCCUAGAGGCGGGUAGGGGCAAGCGGAACUGUGGGUGGAGCGGUGAAAUGCGUUGAUAUCCACAGGAACUCCGGUGGCGAAGGCGGCUUGCUGGACCCGAUCUGACGCUGAGGCGCGAAAGCCAGGGGAGCGAACGGGAUUAGAUACCCCGGUAGUCCUGGCCCUAAACGUUGGGAACUAGGUAGUAGCCCGGACAUGGGGUUACUGCCGGAGCAAAAGUGCUAAGUUCCCCGCCUGGGGAGUAUGGUCGCAAGGCUG